rnacentral:rRNA from 1 species
AAGGAUCAUUAAAGAAAAUGAUGAAUAAUUGGUAGAGGAGGAGUGAUCGAGCCUGCGCUUAAGUGCGCGGCGAGGUUGUUCUUUUUCGUUACGCCGAUAAUUCUUUACACACACUGGAGUUUUAUUUCUACAGUAUCGGAGGUAGCAAUACCGCCAAAACAAAACACAAACAAUUAUUUUUUAUUAUUUUAAUUUGUCAUUUCAAAAUCUGCUUUAUUGCAGUAACCAAAAUAUUCAAAACUUUCAACAACGGAUCUCUUGGUUCUCGCAUCGAUGAAGAACGCAGCGAAAUGCGAUACGUAAUGUGAAUUGCAGAAUUCCGUGAAUCAUCGAAUCUUUGAACGCACAUUGCGCCCCUUGGUAUUCCAGGGGGCAUGCCUGUUUGAGCGUCAUUUCCUUCUCAAAUACUUGUAUUUGGUUGUGAGUGACACUCAGUCUUGCAUUGAGUUAACUUGAAAUUGUUGGCCGUAGCGGUUGUUGCAGCUUAUAGUUUUUGUGUAAUGGUAUGAUUUCUUUACUAUUAAACAGGAUGCUUGAGCAUGUCGUAUUAGGUUUUACCAACUCCGGCAGACUCGGUAUCUUGGAAGAGCGUACUGGCAUUAGAACAUUGAACUGUCGACUGUGGCAAACAGUACUCUUUAAGUUUGACCUCAAAUCAGGUAGGAAUACCCGCUGAACUUAAGCAUAUCAAUAAGCGGAGGAAAAGAAACCAACCGGGAUUGCCUUAGUAACGGCGAGUGAAGCGGCAAAAGCUCAAAUUUGAAAUCUGGUACCUUCGGUGCCCGAGUUGUAAUUUGUAGAGGGCGACUUUGGGGCGGCUCCUUGUCUAUGUUCCUUGGAACAGGACGUCAUAGAGGGUGAGAAUCCCGUGUGGCGAGGAGUGCGGUUCCGUGUAAAGCGCUCUCGAAGAGUCGAGUUGUUUGGGAAUGCAGCUCUAAGUGGGUGGUAAAUUCCAUCUAAAGCUAAAUAUUGGCGAGAGACCGAUAGCGAACAAGUACAGUGAUGGAAAGAUGAAAAGAACUUUGAAAAGAGAGUGAAAAAGUACGUGAAAUUGUUGAAAGGGAAGGGCAUUUGAUCAGACAUGGUGUUUUGUGCCCCUCGCUCCUUGUGGGUGGGGGAAUCUCGCAGCUCACUGGGCCAGCAUCAGUUUUGGCGGUCGGAUAAAACCAGGGGAACGUAGCUUGCUUCGGGAAGUAUUAUAGCCUCUGGGAAUACGGCCAGCCGGGACUGAGGAACGCGAUCGU